CCCAGCACUUGCCUGAACCCAAAUCUUUCUUCUACUUUUAGAGUUACUGUCGAAGGUGGGAUCACAGUCUGUAGACCAUGUUCAGCUUCUCUCUAGAGAGUUUGAGAAACAGUGUAGGCUUCUCUCUUUCUGAAGACAGGUUGUUCUGCUUCAAAGAAAUAUGCAAAUCACUGUCUGGGGCAGAGGG